UUUCCUACGGGACGCAGCAGUGAGGAAUAUUGGUCAAUGGGCGCGAGCCUGAACCAGCCAAGUCGCGUGAGGGAAGACGGUCCUAUGGAUUGUAAACCUCUUUUGUCGGGGAGCAAAAGACGCCACGCGUGGCGUUCCGAGAGUACCCGAAGAAAAAGCAUCGGCUAACUCCGUGCCAGCAGCCGCGGUAAUACGGAGGAUGCGAGCGUUAUCCGGAUUUAUUGGGUUUAAAGGGUGCGCAGGCGGGCUGUUAAGCCGGCGGUAAAAAUUCAGGGCUCAACCCUGUCGAGCCGUCGGAACUGGCA
rnacentral:rRNA from 1 species